UGUAAAAAAUAUCCGUAAAUUAACAGCUGAUUAACUGUAUAUUUUAACAGAAAUUGUCCGUAGUAUGUGAUUCACAGGUGUUUCUCCGUUUAUUUACAUUUUCGAAUUGCAUUAUGGGAUUGAGCUCAGCCUCGACGAUUUUUAGUGGCUGCAACAAAGUCAUGGACAGCAAAAAUGUCAGCUUUUUCAUUGCGGGAGUUUGGUGUAUGAAGGAGUUAACGUCCCCUCCCCCUCGCUGCUGCGCCACUCUGUGUUUCAUAUGCGUAACUGCGGCUUCACUUUGCGUGUCUGAGGGCCACUGAAGUAGCAUCUGGUGGGUCUAUACUGGAAACAACAUACACUGCUAGUGAACAAGUU